AACGUAGACCUCAAGCGUUAUCCGGAUUUAUUGGGCGUAAAGAGCAUGUAGGAGGUUUUGUGCGUCUUCUGUUAAAGCCCACCGCCUAACGGUGGAAUCGCAGGAGAUACGACAGAACUAGAGGAGGUUAGAGGUGCAUGGAACGCACGGUGUAGGGGUGAAAUCCGUUGAUAUCGUGCGGAACACCAAAGGCGAAGGCAGUGCACUGGGACCUUCCUGACUCUGAGAUGCGAAAGCGUGGGGAGCAAAAAGG
rnacentral:rRNA from 1 species